GGUUUGAUCAAUUGGCACAAGCGCUGCAUUGAUAACCGCACAACUUGAUUAAAGCGCGCUGCUCAACGAAGAGCAGCACGCUCCCGAAAGCUCGGGAUCGGACAAAGGCGUCCUCGCUAGGUGAAUAGCGGGACGCC
rnacentral:sRNA from 1 species